ensembl:lncRNA
GUUCAUGUCUGUCUGCCCAGUAGCAGGAGGUAUGGCACUUGGAAUGUGAAGCAAAGAUCAGGUUCGUGACUAUCUGAGGAAUCUGAACAUCUCUAAGUCUGUGGAUCCUGAUGAGAUGCAUGCCAGAGUCCUGAAAGAGGUGGCUGAGGUGGUCACCAAUCCACUCUCAAUGAUAUUUGAAUAUCAUGAUAGUCAGGGUAAGUCCCUGGUGACUGGAAAAAAGACAAUGUCACACCCAUUUUUAAGAAGAGUAGAAAGGAUGAUAUAGCGAACUAUAGACUUGUCAGCCUCACCUUUGUACUAGGGAAGAUUAUGUAGUAGAUCCUCCUGGAAGCUAUGCUAAGGCACAUGAAAGAAAGGGAGGUGAUACGGGAUAACCAUAUUGGCUUCACCAACAACAGAUCCUCCCUGACCAACCUUUUCAUUUUUUAUGAUGGUGUAACUUCAUGAGUGAACAAGGGAAAAGCCACUGAUGUCAUCUAUCAGUAAGGCCUUUGAUAUGAUUCCCCACAUCCUUCCCUCCAAUUUGGAAAUAUAUGGAUUUGAAGUGUGGACUGUUUGAUGGAUGAGGAACUGGUGGCAGGAUUGUACCCAGAGACUGAUGGUCAGUGGCUCAGUGUCCAGAUGGAGAUCAAUGAUAUGUUGUGUCCCUCAGACAUCAGUACUGGGACUGAUGUUCUUUAAUACUUUCAUCAGUGACAUUGACAGUGGACAGUCUCAGCAAGUUCGUAGGUGACACCGAGCUGUGUGCUGUGGUUGACCCACCCAAGGAAUGGGAUGCAAUUCAGAGAGGCCUAGGCAGGCUUCAGGAGUGGACCCAGGAGAACCUCCUGAGAUUCAAUAAAGCCUGUCCUUGGAUACAUUCAAAGUGCGGCUGGACAGGGCUCUGAGCAAGCUGAUAUAGGUGGUCCUGUUCACCGAAGAGAAGUUUGAGUACGUAACCUUUAAGGGUCUCUUCCAACUCAAACAAUUCUAUGAUUCUACAUUCUUUUAUCAUGUUUGGGAAAAAAAGUGUUUAAUGCCCUAGUUUUGAUGACUGUGGAACAGCAGGAGGAUUAAUGUGUCUUCCAUAGCCUUCCCAAUAUAGCUGUGUCUAGUCCCCAAACUGUGGCAGUGGCACAGAGCUACUUUUGUGUCACCACCAUCUCAUCAUCUCAGGUUAUUUUUCAGACCAUCUCAUGCCCUGCUCUAUCAGAUUUGUUAAGGAAAAAAAAAAAAAAAAAAAAGGCUUUAGCCCAAGAAAUGGGGGCUUAUCAUUAUAGCAGUGUUUGUGUGGAAGAUAAUGACAUUGUCUUGGCUCCAGUGCAUAGUUUCAGGGAAAUACAUUCAAAUCAGAAUUCAGCUGAUUUAGGAUCAGAGAGAAGUCAUUUAACUUGCUUCCACCUGAUGAAGAUUAAGGAAAAUGCAGAGCUGCACGUCUUGUGAAUCUCUUGAUGCUGACUCUUUUGAUUUGUCAGUAGUCCUCUCUGUAGCAGCAGAGCUGGCUGAGCUCAGUAGUCACACAGCAAAAGUUUUUCCUUGCAACCACAGAGAUCUGAUGCUUUCCUGAUCUAUGUAAAUCACUCUCUUACAGCAAAGUGCUCCACAGAUGCCUGAAAUAAAAACAGCAGCACAGUGUUUUUAUGAGUUAAUAGGAUUCCAAAUCUUCAGAAGACUGAAGGGACAACAACUAGGAAGAACUGGGCAUCACUACUGGUUUGGAUAAGAUAAACAAUUAUGUGUCAUAUUGAGCCUUUCCAUUUACUAUUUUUUUAGCAUAAGUGACCUCUUAUAAUGUCUUCGCAUAUAAUAAACCUGCCUUUUUUUCUUCCCCUGUGAAUCUCCAUUAAGAAGGUGCAAUCCACAUACUAUCUUAGUGCCUGCUAUAAUAGUCACUAGAGCCUAUGGAAGUAUAUCUGUGCAUUUCACUAAACUGUGGUUUGAAAGAAUCCUGUCUGAAGAACACAUUUUAUGGCUCUACAACACAAAUAUCCUUUGGUUUUAAUGGAAGCUUUACUGGCCUGAAGUAAGGUGUUCUAUUAGUCUGUAGCCUAAUGCAUUUUGUUAAUGAGAAUAGAAUUUAACCUUUCUGUUAAAUCUAAAACAUAUCUCUGUCUUGAACUAUGUUAGGUAGAACUUGACAGGAAAAAAAUAAAUGUGAAUCAACAACAAAGCCCGUAUUCUUUGCAUGAAAAUGCUAUUGAUUUCCAUUCAGACUAAUCAGCUCUUUGGGGUAGGUAGGGUCAACCAUUUCAUAGCAUUUUGUUAAAACCUUUCUUUAAGGAUCAGACACAGUUUGGAAAGCAGAGAACUAAAACCCAAUGGCCCAGUUCUUCAAAUAUGAGUAUAAGCUAAACUAGUUCCAGCAAAUCAAGAUGGCUGCUUCCUGCAGUGCUGUUACUAAGGAGGAUGGGCAUGUUCAGGGCUGGCCUUGGCAUUUAGUUUGUUCUUGUAAUCCCAAGUAUGAAAAAUUAUUGAGUGUGUCUUUUUGAUUUUAUUAUGGAAAUGAGGUUGGACAGUCUUCAUCUGGCACAAAAAGAGUGGCAGGAUUCCUUGUUUCUCCUGAUCUCUGCUCAUGUAAGUACAGAAAUUUGAAAUCAAGCCAUGCACACUGUUGCCAGUUGUUUUAAGGCCACAGCAUUUACACCUAUAAAUGAGAACCUUUAAAAGAAUCAUUAUAAUUAUAGACACCAGCCUUGUUACUUAAUUACAUCCUGGUGUAGCCUCUGCAACUCAAAAAGUUUAC